rnacentral:rRNA from 1 species
GACGAACGCUGGCGGCGUGCCUAAUACAUGCAAGUCGAACGCUGAAGGAGGAGCUUGCUUCUCUGGAUGAGUUGCGAACGGGUGAGUAACGCGUAGGUAACCUGCCUGGUAGCGGGGGAUAACUAUUGGAAACGAUAGCUAAUACCGCAUAAUAGCAGUUGUUGCAUGACAACUGUUUGAAAGGUGCAAUUGCACCACUACCAGAUGGACCUGCGUUGUAUUAGCUAGUUGGUGGGGUAACGGCUCACCAAGGCGACGAUACAUAGCCGACCUGAGAGGGUGGUCGGCCACACUGGGACUGAGACACGGCCCAGACUCCUACGGGAGGCAGCAGUAGGGAAUCUUCGGCAAUGGACGGAAGUCUGACCGAGCAACGCCGCGUGAGUGAAGAAGGGUUUCGGAUCGUAAAGCUCUGUUGUAAGAGAAGAACGAGUGUGAGAGUGGAAAGUUCACACUGUGACGGUAUCUUACCAGAAAGAGACGGCUAACUACGUG